rnacentral:rRNA from 1 species
AACGAACGCUGGCGGCAGGCUUAACACAUGCAGGUCGAGCGCCCCGCAAGGGGAGCGGCAGACGGGUGAGUAACGCGUGGGAAUCUACCCAUCUCUACGGAAUAACGCAUGGAAACGUGUGCUAAUACCGUAUACGUCCUUCGGGAGAAAGAUUUAUCGGAGAUGGAUGAGCCCGCGUUGGAUUAGCUAGUUGGUGGGGUAAAGGCCUACCAAGGCGACGAUCCAUAGCUGGUCUGAGAGGAUGAUCAGCCACACUGGGACUGAGACACGGCCCAGACUCCUACGGGAGGCAGCAGUGGGGAAUAUUGGACAAUGGGCGCGAGCCUGAUCCAGCCAUGCCGCGUGAGUGAUGAAGGCCCUAGGGUUGUAAAGCUCUUUCACCGGAGAAGAUAAUGACGGUAACCGGAGAAGAAGCCCCGGCUAACUUCGUGCCAGCCGCCGCAGUAACAC